rnacentral:lncRNA from 1 species
CUCUCUCUCUCUCUCUCUCUCUCUCUCUCUCCCAAUGGAAAAAUGCAAUGACCAAAUCUGCAUUUGAAAGCCAACCAAUUCGUCACCUUCAACACAAAUAAAUCAUGGCAACCGACAUCUUUGAUUGAAUCAUGUCUACCCACCAACAACAUUUAAGUGACGUUGGCGACUUGGCAUAGUUGAAAAAAAUAAGUAAAAGACUAAAAACCAAAUCAUACUCCCACCAUAAGACUUGUCUUUUAAGUUGAAAUGUGGUUUUCUUAAAACAAUCAGUAUUCGAAGGAGAUUUGAAUUCGGAAACUUCUUCCAUAUUGAAAAACUUAGUAAUAGACCGUUUGCUUGAGCCACAAAUAAAUCGAACUUCUUUAUCAUAAGAUUUUGCCAUAGAGGAGUUUAAUCUAUAGUUAAGUUUUUUCCUAUGCCUUGUCACCAAGAACUUUGUAUUUUCUUUGUGUUUAUGCCAAGAGACAAUCCUAAACUAAUCAGAUCUUAAUUUGCAACAGCAAAGUAAAUUGAAAGACAAAAAGUAAUGCAAGUAAUGAUAGAAAGGAAAGAUAGGGAAGUAAAGGAUGGUUAGAUGUUCAUCAAAUGUUAAUUAACAAGAAAGUAAAUUAUAUAAGGUUAAUAAUUUGAAAAAAAUGACAAAUAAAAGCAUUAAGGCAAAGUUUAAUUUCAUUCAGGCAAAAUUGACCAUCUGUCAGGCAAAUUCUUGCAAGCAAGGGAAAUUUUUUUAGAAAGGAAGUUAAUACAAAAAAUUGGUGCUACAAGUGAUAUAGCAGAGCUAUAAAGAAAAUGAGUGUCUGAACAACAAAAAGAGUUUGUAAAAAGGAGGUUUGCAGAGCUUUGAAGUCAUUUUGUGUUGAGUGAGUGUCCUUUUCUUCCUCCUUUAUGUUGCCUUUUAUAGAAUAUGCUUUUCCUUCUAGUGUAAGCCCUUCCCUCUCAGUUCAUUCCUUAUGAUCCAAUAAGUUGCUGAUUUGAUUGCUAUCAGAGGAUGAGUUUUCAUCUCGCAGCUCUAGCUUUUGUCCCUUUGAAAGUACAAUUUUUCCACCAGAUAGCAACUAUCCUUUGUGAAAACAAAAAAAUCAACUGAAUUACCUUCUUUCAAUAUGAAAGAGGGUAGCUUUGCCGUCCACAUUGCUACGUCACAAGGUACUUUUGAAAACCUGGACCGCAUACUAUUCACCUGCAACAUAAUUAAAUACCCACUAAGUCAUUAGUUAAAGUUCAGUGGGUUCGGCCUAGAACCUGCCUAACCUUUAAGGAAACAAUUAACUUUCUAUCUAUAUGUAUCCAGAGGAAGGUGAUCACAUUAAGAAAACAUUAAGAAAAUAGUUAAGUUUAUAUAUAUAUAU